CUGUCCCAUCUCCACCACAGGUACAGUUGGCUUCCAUGUGAUGCUGAAGCCUGGCUAAUGGGAUCCCAACGAAACUAGAGACUGCAACAUGGAACUAUUAACUCAACUGGGUCUCCUUUUUAAUGGCUUUCUUAACACUAACUUGCAAGAUUACAGAUCAACACAUUUCAAAUGGAUAUAGACCUGGGGUUCUGGAGGGAGGGGGUUUGUUAAAACAACACACAUUCAAAGAAAGAAAUU
rnacentral:lncRNA from 1 species